AUUGAACGCUGGCUGCAGGCCUAACACAUGCAAGUCGAACGAGUGGCGGACGGGUGAGUAAUGUCUGGGAAACUGCCUGAUGGAGGGGGAUAACUACUGGAAACGGUAGCUAAUACCGCCUACCAUCGGAUGUGCCCAGAUGGGAUGAUCUAGUAGGUGGGGGAAAGGCUAACCUAGGCGACGAUCCCUAGCGUGUCUGAGAGGAUGACCAGGCACUCUGGAACUGAGCCACGGUCCAGACUCCUACGGGAGGCAUCAGUGGUGAAUAUUGCACAAUGUGCGCAAUCCUGAUGCAGCCAUGCAGAGUGUAGGAAUAAGGCCGUCGGGUUGUAAAGUACUUUCAUCGGGGAGGCGUUACCCGCAGAAGAAGCACCGGCUAACUCCGUGCCAGCAGCCGCGGUAAUUC
rnacentral:rRNA from 1 species